GACUGGGCUACUGAUCCCUGAUCUUGUGCUGUGUUUUUGUGUGAAGGGAGGGACAAUUCCCUGCUCCACUUUCUGAGUUUGGAAUUGAAGACAGUGUCAAGAGGGGCUGGAGACUGAGGAGCAGCAGCUUGUUUUGGAACUGGCCAGCUACGGCACACAGUGUCCCACUGCUGCUCACUGCCAAAAUGGUCACCUUUAACCUUCCCCUCCAGAUCCUGAGGAAAAGGCUUUAACCUGUUUUGGCACUGGGUGGUACAGGUACUCUAACCACUGAGUACUAAAAUGGCCAGGCCCAGCCCUCAUCUCCAACUUGGAACUGGAAAGGGGAACAGAGAUCUUCCUGAAGUCGUGCUGUACCCUCCAGAGCUCAUUGCAGCUGUACGAGAUAAUCCCCACUCCUUCUCAACUCCAUGCUGGAGAGGAAGGCACAGUGCAUCUUCUUUCAGAGAAUUUCUCAUUCUUACAGAGCUGACAACUCUGUUCUGUUUAUGGAAGAACAGACAAAGCUCAAAUGGGGAAAUGAACGAACAAAGAUGGGCGAUAUGCUUUCUCAGUUUUGACCUAUUUCUGGCAAUUACUAUUCAAAACACUAUGGCUGCAACCCUGCACCCUAUGUAUAAAGCACCAGGCUCACUGAUAAUAAAUAAAUGAGCACAGCAGAU